rnacentral:rRNA from 1 species
AGUGAACGCUGGCGGUAGGCCUAACACAUGCAAGUCGAACGGCAGCACAGUAAGAGCUUGCUCUUACGGGUGGCGAGUGGCGGACGGGUGAGGAAUAUAUCGGAAUCUACUUUUUCGUGGGGGAUAACGUAGGGAAACUUACGCUAAUACCGCAUACGACCUACGGGUGAAAGCAGGGGAUCUUCGGACCUUGCGCGAUUGAAUGAGCCGAUGUCGGAUUAGCUAGUUGGCGGGGUAAAGGCCCACCAAGGCGACGAUCCGUAGCUGGUCUGAGAGGAUGAUCAGCCACACUGGAACUGAGACACGGUCCAGACGCCUACGGGAGGCAGCAGUGGGGAAUAUUGGACAAUGGGCGCAAGCCUGAUCCAGCCAUACCGCGUGGGUGAAGAAGGCCUUCGGGUUGUAAAGACCUUUUGUUGGGAAAGAAAAGCAGCAGGUUAAUACCCCGCUGUUCUGACGGUACCCAAAGAAUAAGCACCGGCUAACUUCGUG